AAAAGUUUCAAUUCCAUAUGCAUUGCCAGAGAUGAUCAAUAACAAGUGCAGGAGAAGAGUAAGGAAAAAGACAAGAAGGCAUGGCCAAACUGGGGAGUUAAAUGGAGAGUGGCAAGGCAAAAUAAUGUCUUCUGGAAACUCUUGCCUUUUUUUGCAAGAUGGGUCUGCUCAAUGCACCACGUUUGAAUACAGGCUUCAGGGACAAAUCAAUACAAUAUUUCACCACAUCAGAUUUUAGUGUGCAUCUGUACCAACCACAAAUGUUACAGGAUAACACUUCCGCCCCACAGCACAGCUCCUGGCCACAUCUCCUCCAUGCCUGAUUGGUUGCCAUGGACUCCUGGAUCCUCGUGGGGCACAGGCUGUUGGGAGUCCUAGAGCCCAGGAGCUUCUCUGUACAGUGGGACUGAACCCUCCCCCUAGGCUUACCUCAGUCACUGCUGCUGCUGCCUUGCCAACGCCACUAGCUGCAAAGAGAACUGCAUUUAAUUAUAUAAGUAAAAUGUAC